UAGGGGAAUCUUCCACAAUGGACGAAAGUCUGAUGGAGCAACGCCGCGUGAGUGAAGAAGGGUUUCGGCUCGUAAAACUCUGUUGUUAAAGAAGAACAUAUCUGAGAGUAACUGUUCAGGUAUUGACGGUAUUUAACCAGGAAGCCACGGCUAACUACGUGCUAG
rnacentral:rRNA from 1 species